rnacentral:rRNA from 1 species
UACAGAGGUCUCAAGCGUUAUCCGGAUUCACUGGGUUUAAAGGGUGCGUAGGUGGGAAUGUAAGUCAGUGGUGAAAUCUCCGUGCUUAACACGGAAACUGCCAUUGAUACUAUGUUUCUUGAAUUUUCUGGAGGUUAGCGGAAUAUGUCAUGUAGCGGUGAAAUGCUUAGAUAUGACAUAGAACACCGAUUGCGAAGGCAGCUGACUGGAGGUAUAUUGACACUGAGGCACGAAAGCGUGGGGAUCAAACAGG